rnacentral:rRNA from 1 species
UACGAAGGGGGCUAGCGUUGCUCGGAAUUACUGGGCGUAAAGGGCGCGUAGGCGGAUGGCACAGUCAGAUGUGAAAUCCCCGGGCUUAACCUGGGAACUGCAUUUGUGACUGCAUGGCUGGAGUGCGGCAGAGGGGGAUGGAAUUCCGCGUGUAGCAGUGAAAUGCGUAGAUAUGCGGAGGAACACCGAUGGCGAAGGCAAUCCCCUGGGCCUGCACUGACGCUCAUGCACGAAAGCGUGGGGAGCAAACAGG